AUGAACGCUGGCGGCGUGCCUAAUACAUGCAAGUCGAGCGAACAGAUGAGGAGCUUGCUCCUCUGACGUUAGCGGCGGACGGGUGAGUAACACGUGGAUAACCUACCUAUAAGACUGGGAUAACUUCGGGAAACCGGAGCUAAUACCGGAUAAUAUAUUGAACCGCAUGGUUCAAUAGUGAAAGACGGUUUUGCUGUCACUUAUAGAUGGAUCCGCGCCGCAUUAGCUAGUUGGUAAGGUAACGGCUUACCAAGGCAACGAUGCGUAGCCGACCUGAGAGGGUGAUCGGCCACACUGGAACUGAGACACGGUCCAGACUCCUACGGGAGGCACCAGUAGGGAAUCUUCCGCAAUGGGCGAAAGCCUGACGGAGCAACGCCGCGUGAGUGAUGAAGGUCUUCGGAUCGUAAAACUCUGUUAUUAGGGAAGAACAAAUGUGUAAGUAACUAUGCACGUCUUGACGGUACCUAAUCAGAAAGCCACGGCUAACUACGUG
rnacentral:rRNA from 1 species